GCUGCUCCCGGCGUGCCUGGGGACAUCGCGGGUGUCGCAGCACCAAUUCUGUACUUUAACCUGGUUUGCACAAAGGAGGGGGCUGCUCGUAACCGACCUAAAGCUUCCUGAUCAUCCAUAGUUUGCACCAUUUGUACAUUUUAACAGAGGUAUUAGCAUUCAUUGGUCACAAAUAGUGCAAUCUUUGUGUUGAUGAGUGCUCAGACCCCUCUUUGCUGGUUGUGUCUCUCAUGCUGAUCGGCCCUGAGGUGGAAUUGUCCCUUCCCUGGGCGCUCGGUCCGUUCAUUUGAUAACUAUGCAUUAACAGUCGGUGGUCACUGAGUGGGUCGCUCACUCCCACUGCUGGAAUUCCCUGUCCUCAGGCACUGCUCAGUCCUGCUGGAUCACUGCUGGAUCCUGGCCAAGCAGCCCAGCCCUUGCGGGGCCGUGUUCCUCUCCUUGAAAAGGUCAGCCAAGCACAGCAUGGGCACUGCGAUGCUGCUGCCCUGCCCUGAGAGCAGCUGUGAGCCCUGGGCCUGCGCUGCUCCUCCUGUGGGAGCUGCCUCUGCAUCCCUGGGCCAGGGCUGGGGAACAGCUGGAAGGGGUUUGUGUCUGCUGUGGGGGUGACAAGUGUCCUGCCAUGGGUUAAAUGAGAUUUGUGUCUGCUGUGGGACUCACAAGUGUCCUGCAAUGGGUUAAAUGAGAUUUGUGUCUGCUGUGGGGGUGACAAGUGUCCUGCCAUGGGUUAAAUGAGAUUUGUGACUGCUGUGGGACUCACAAGUGUCCUGCAAUGGGUUAAAUGAGAUUUGUGUCUGAUGUGGAGCUGACAAGGGUCCUGCAGUGGGUUAAAUGAGAUUUGUGUCUGCUGUGGGACUCACAGGUGUCCUGCAGUGGGUUAAAUGGAGGUUGAAUCUAACAGCUGGAAAAUACACCUUUGAUCCAGGUGCUUUUCUAAUAUUGAUUUUUGGAAUUUGAAUUUUCAAGUCCCCACCUGUGGCCACCAUGAUGUUGUCUGCCUGUGUGACUUCACAAAUUGAUAAAUAUUCUCUCAUAUGAUGAUUAUUAUUUUAAUUCAGAAGACUAGAAAUUAUUUCUGUAGUUUAAGGAGGGGAAUAAUUUGUCAGACAGUACCAAGACUACUUAGAUCAGUUGGAUGUGGUUUCCAUAUAGGAAACACAUCUUUGCUCACCUUGCUGUGCUAAAAAAUGAUCUGUUUGAAUAUUUCUGGGAUGAUUUGCCUAUUAUUUCCUGGCUUUUCAUCUUUUCCCAUGGUGAUACUUUGCCAUUUUCAGUGUCCUGACUUCAGUAAUUUGACUCUGCCCUUCUGGAGCUUGGACACUGACUUGUCCCCUGGAGCAGGAGGGACCUGAGUUGUGGGUGGUCCCAGAGAUGUAAAACAAAAAGUACAAAAGCAAACCCAAAUACAUGUGUGUUCUUUACUAAAAGUUCUGUAUAAGAUCAGUAUACUAAAAAUUGAAGCAGAAGAGACGACUACAGAAAUACAGGGUUGUUAUCAUGUAGCAAGAAAUAACAUUUCCAGUUUUCUUUCUGAUUUUACUCAUGUAAUAAAGCAAAGGCCUGUGUUAAGCCUGGGUUUUAGCACUGCUGUUAGAUUUAUGCAAGGAUUAGGAUAGUAUCUGAUAGCAGGAGAUGAAUUUCUCAAGAGCAACAUCACUCUGCUAACUUUGCUGAGAUUUUUCCAAGAUCUGCCAUAUUUUCAAGAAAUGAAAGCAUGUUCUUAUUGCAUCAUUAAAGGAAUUUCAACACUUGCAGUAGUAGCAUUGGAAGCUGUUGGAGCAGCUUCAGAGCUGCAAACUUCUCUCUGUAGUGUUUUACAGCUAAUUUUUUUCUUUCUAAGGCUGUCAGGAUUUAUAAGGUCCCCCCAUCCCCCACAAGCUUUGCUGGAUAUCAGUUAAAAAGAUUAACAAGAGCAGAUAAUGCUAAACCACUCCUGCAAGUGAUGUUGGUAAGGUAUCACAGAAGGCAGCACACUGCCUUCAGUUCAGUUUUUAAUUGUAUAUGUUCAUAAUGAAUCACAUAACCCAGGUAUUCAGUGGUAACUUAGAGAAAUGCUGCAGUGUGGAUGUUUUGGUUGGCUCCCACAUCCGUGUGACAGAGCAGCUGGGAUUAUUUGGAUUAUUCUGUGAUAACAGGAUUUUAUGGAGUGGUCUGUGCCACAAGAGGGAGCAGGCAGAUGUGUAAGAAAUGCUGCCAAAUCCAGAGCACAGUGCCAGGGACACUGCACUGUUACUGAAGGAAGGAAGAAAGACUUGGAUUAGUUUUUUACAAUUUUACCAAUGCAUUGCUAACACGAGGUAAUAUGUAAAUCUCCCACUUUCAUCAGAAGUUUACUUAAAGUCAGAUUGUUUUGUAAACCACAGACAGAGAGUUGUUUGGGAAAUCCCUGUCUGAAAGGUUAAAAGCCAAACCAAAGGGUUUCCCACUGUGCAGAGAAACUGAGCAUCAGUAACAGAGUAGGGUUUGUCUGCCCCCUGUGAAAAGCCCUCUGUGCAGCAGAGCCUGCAGCUUGGUCAUGGUACUUGGAAAAGCCUCACUUUCAGGGGAAAAAAAAAAAAAAAAUCACAUUUUGCUUCUAAUCUGGGUUCAUUAGAUUCCCCCUGGCCCUCACCAGCAGCAGCCUAAGGGAAGCAGGUCCCAGAGCCUUGCCCUGUUCCAGGCAGCUCUGCAGGAGCUUUCACAGCCCUGAAAGCAAAUCCCAUUCUGCACAAACCACCCUGUGCUUCUCCUCCCUUCUGACUCUCCUGCCAGUAAACCUGACUGGGCACUCUGUGCAUCUCUGGCCCCUCAGAGGUGGGAUACAGUUUUUUUUCUCUCAUUGCACGGUACUUUCAUACCACAAAACUGCUUAAACAAAUACUUCAUGGAGAGGAGCAGUUCUCUGUGUUAAAAACAAAAAUGUGAAACAGAGCCUACCUUCUAGCAAUUCCUGCCAGCAGUUCUGCAAUGCAAAAUGGGAAAAUGCCUCUAAGAAAUUUCCUGGAGAUGAGCCUGUGAUAACUCUGCUCUCCUGCCACAGCUCCUUGGCUCCUGGCCCUGGUCCCAGAGGGAGCCCAGGCUUGUGAGUGCCCCAAGGGCUGGGUGGAGCUCCAUCCCUGCUGUUGGAGUGCUGGCAGUCAGUUCUGCUUCCUGCUAGCACCACACUCACCCAGGGGUUUUCCACAGAACUUAAAACUUACUUAAAAAUGUAGAGUGCAAACUAAGAGCUCGACUUUCCUGCAGCAACACGUUUGAAAACAACACAGCAAAGAAGUUUUCUUAGGGAAAGUCCCAAGGAAAGCUCAGGGUUGAGCUCUCCUUGGUCUCUUGUGGGUUGUGUGUCCUCAGCCAGACACACAGAAGCUUCCAGAAGAGGAGUGGGACUAUUUCACAUGAGGAAUGGGUCUGUUUCAGAUGAGGAAUGGGACUUUCCAGGCAGAAGUGAACAACAGGAUCCAAACUUUGUUUUGUUUAAGGCAUUACAUGGAAACUUCCUUGGCCAACUACUGUUGGAUUUCAGGGCUGGCCUCUAGUCUGAAUCUUGCAACUUUUUUUUUUUUUUUUUAUUGUUUUGCAGGGCCAUAAAAAGGACGUGGGGGAAGCAGAUCUUCCUGUCCCACAUGUGGAUGUUGCCCAGCUCGGGGUGCAGACAGGAGCUCAGGGGAUGUUCUGUAAAACACCUACCCAGCCCUGGGAGCUGUGCCCAGCCUGGGGCUUGGCCAGCUGCUCUCAGGAGGGGAAAAGGAGCAGGGGGUGCCCAUGGGGGCCUGGGUCCCUGCUGCCCUGCCUGCCCCAGAGCCAGUGCCCAUUCUGGGAGCCCCUGGGUGCCACAGCCUCCCCUGGCCAGGCUGCUGCUGGGGAGGCUCUGGGAGCAGCAGCCCUGGCCCUCCCUGGGGACACGGUGCUGCUGUGCCCUGGCCCUGCUGUGCCUGAGCUGAACCCCCAGCCCAGCUCCCACUGCCCUGGCAGCCAGCUGGGAACCCAUGGGCUCCCAUCCUUCCUGAGUGUCCUGGGCUCACUCCUUGGGCUCCUUUUCCUGGUCCCUUCUCUCAAAGCUGGGAAUGCUCUGAGGCUCCUGAGAUUCUGUUCCUGUGCUCAGCCCAGUGUCUCUCACAGUUCUGAGAGGUCACUGUGGUCACAUGGUAACACUCAGGCUCCUUAUGGAAAAAGAGACUGGUUUGUGCCUGGAAAUGCAGAAGUGUGUGGGAAUUGGCCUGAAGCAUCCUCCAGGAUUCCUGUGCCCUUCCCUUGGCUGCAGCAAGGCCUGUGCAGGAUGUGCAGCUCCAGCCUGCACAGCUGUGCUGCACUCUGCACCCACUGCCACCUCCCCACCACUUGUGCAUGUUUUCUUCCCAGGAAGACUUGCAGCAGGCUUUGCAAUGGUCUGGAAAGCCUGGUGCCAAAGGAAUAAUGCAAAUAUUAAAAUAUUAUUAUUCCUUUUUUCUUUUGCUUCUA